AACGAACGCUGGCGGCAGGCCUAACACAUGCAAGUCGAGCGAGGACUUCGGUCCUAGCGGCGGACGGGUGAGUAACGCGUGGGAACGUGCCCUUUGCUUCGGAAUAGCCCUGGGAAACUGGGAGUAAUACCGGAUGAGCCCUUUGGGGGAAAGAUUUAUCGGCGAAGGAUCGGCCCGCGUUGGAUUAGGUAGUUGGUGGGGUAAUGGCCUACCAAGCCGACGAUCCAUAGCUGGUUUGAGAGGAUGAUCAGCCACACUGGGACUGAGACACGGCCCAGACUCCUACGGGAGGCAGCAGUGGGGAAUCUUAGACAAUGGGGGAAAUCCUGAUCGAGCCAUGCCGCGUGAGCGAUGAAGGCCUUAGGGUUGUAAAGCUCUUUCAGCUGGGAAGAUAAUGACGGUACCAGCAGAAGAAGCCCCGGCUAACUCCGUG
rnacentral:rRNA from 1 species